UACGAAGGGGGCUAGCGUUGCUCGGAAUCACUGGGCGUAAAGGGUGCGUAGGCGGGUCUUUAAGUCAGGGGUGAAAUCCUGGAGCUCAACUCCAGAACUGCCUUUGAUACUGGCGAUCUUGAGUCCGGGAGAGGUGAGUGGAAUUCCGAGUGUAGAGGUGAAAUUCGUAGAUAUUCGCAAGAACACCUGUGGCGAAGGCGGGUCUCUGGACAGUUCCUGACGCUGAGGCACGAAAGCCAGGGGAGCAAACGGG
rnacentral:rRNA from 1 species